UCGAAGCUCCUUUCUAUGAUCUGCGCCUUUGCCAGGACUGCCGAAUAUGUCUCGAGCUCCAUCACCAACAAGUGCUGUCUGAUCGCCGGGCGGAGGCCCCACUGGAAUUUCCUGGCCUUUCGGCCCUCAUCCAACAAUGUCUCCGGGGCAUGUCGGCCCAGCUCCAGGAACUUACGGGCAUACUCCGACACUGUCAUAUUACCCUGGACCAAUUGAGCAAAUUCCAUUUCCUUUAAAUGUUGGAUGUGUUUAGGGAGAUACUCCGCAUGGAAAGCCGCUAGGAACUGCUCCCAAGUAACUGGUACAGGCAGGGUGGCCCGCUUGAGCUCCCA
rnacentral:lncRNA from 1 species